CUGAUCCCUUCCCGAACUCAGAAGUGAAACAUCGUUGCGCCAAUGGUAGUGUGGUUCGCCCAUGUGAGAGUAGGUCAUCGUCAGCU
rnacentral:rRNA from 1 species